rnacentral:rRNA from 1 species
UUUAUAGUUAGGGGAAGUUAUAGUAUUUUUUAUAGAAAAAAUUAAUAUUUUUAUAGAGAAUUAGUAUUGAAAAAGAAAAUUGAAAUAAAAUUUAAAAUAAAUUUAAUUAAAAGUAAUUUUAAUUUAUUGUAUCUUGUGUAUCAGAGUUUAUUAAUAAUUUAUUUAUAAGUUAAAUUUUUUCGAAUUUAGAAGAGUUAAUUAAUUAAGAAAGUUAUUGUAGCAAAAAUAUUUUUAAUAAUUAAUUUGUAAUGAAAUGUUAAUCGUUUUUAAAUAUAUCUAGUUUUUUUAGAAAAAAAUUUAAUUUUGAAUUUAAAUAUAUAUAAUUUUUUUUUAAAAAAAAAAUUAUAUAUUUAAAUUUAAUAUUUUAAGGGAUAAGCUUUAAAUUAAAUAGUUAUAAUAUUUUUUUUUAAUAAAAAAAUUUUUAGAAUUUAUAUUGUUUAUAAAUUAUAUUUUAUUAUAAAUAAUUUUUGUAAAAUAAAAAUUUUAAUUUUAUUUAAUUUUAUAUAAAAAAAAAUUUUUUAAUUAAAAAAAUUUUGUUAUAAUGAUAAAAUUAGUAUAUAAAUAUUUAAAUAUAUAUAUAUAUAUAUAUUUAAUUUAAUUAAAAAUUUGAUAAUUAAUUAAAAGGAAUUCGGCAAAAUUUUAUAUUCACUUGUUUAUCAAAAACAUGUCUUUUUGUAAAUAAUUUAAAGUCUAAUCUGCCCACUGAUUUUAUAUUAAAGGGCUGCAGUAUAUUGACUGUACAAAGGUAGCAUAAUCAUUAGUCUCUUAAUUGGUGACUUGUAUGAAAGAUUGGAUGAAAUAUAUAGUGUCUCUAAAUUAUUAAAUAUAAUUUAAUUUUUUAGUAAAAAAGCUAAAAUAAUUUUAAAAGACGAGAAGACCCUAUAGAGUUUUAUAAUUUUAAAAAUUAAAAUUAUUUAUAAAAUUUAAUAAAUUUAAUUUAUUAAAAUUAUUUUAUUGGGGUGAUAGAAAAAUUUAAUUAACUUUUUUUAAAAUUUAACAUAUAUAAGUGAUUAAAAGAUCCAAAAUUUUUGAUUAUAAGAAAAAAUUACCUUAGGGAUAACAGCGUAAUUUUUUUUUUUAGUUCAAAUAAGAAAAAAAGUUUGCGACCUCGAUGUUGGAUUAAGAUAAAAUUUAAAUGUAAAAGUUUAAAAUUUUGAUCUGUUCGAUCAUUAAAAUCUUACAUGAUCUGAGUUCAAACCGGUGUAAGCCAGGUUGGUUUCUAUCUUUAAAAAAAUAAAAUAUUUUAGUACGAAAGGAAUAAAUAUUAAAAAUAGUUUUAUUAUAAAUUGAAUAUAAUU